UCGAUACAAUGAUGAGCGCAUAGUUCAGCAGAUUUAACCGUGAAGAACAACCAUGUCUUUCGCUCCUAGCUGAUGUGUUGG
ensembl:snoRNA